GAGGAGAGAGGGGUGCACUGACACGGAGCUUCUGGGAUGGAGCCUAGUAUGGAUCACUGGGAUUUACUCAUCAUUCUGCCCUCAAGAAGCAGACAGGUGUUCUUGAUUGGUGUGGCUUUCCGAAACUGAGAGUGGCCCAAAGCAGAUUUGUCCAUUCAGUCAACCCGACCUCCCUGACUCCAGGCCAGAGGGGGCUGACAUGAUGUGGGAGGAAAGGACGGGAGGAGGAAAAGAUGUCUGCGAGGUGUCAGAGGAGAGGAGAGAAAAGGAGACAGGUCCUUUCCUUCCUGACAAAAUGAUGCAAGUGUUUGUGAAAGGAGGAGGGAGCCCAGCUCUGCUGCAGUUGCUGUCUCUGGCAAAGCAUACAGAGCUGUGGUUACCUUGAGGAAGAGUGGACACUGGCUCUCAGCCUGCGGACAGGAGGCCCAGAACCAGUGAGGGAGUCCAUUGGCUUGUGCAGUGGAGACGUAGUAGCCCAGAGCUAGCGGCUGCUGCUUCAGCUCCUCUGGAGGACUGUCCCUGGACAUCAGGCGCUCUCCCUGGCUCUUUACAAACACAGGAGAAGGCCACUUAUUAGUUACAAACCUUCAUGGUGAUCCUUUCUAAUCCUUUGCACUGGCAUGACUGGUUUGUUCUCCUUUAACAAUAAUAAAAACAUGUAAUUUUCAAGGCAAUGCAAAAAGCAUGAAAAGAGGACUGUUGAAACUCCUAACAAAAGAACAGAAGACCUCCUCACGAUAUACUGUAGCUCAGCAAAUGCCCUUAUUGUUUUUUUUCCGAUGCUUUUCGCUUGAAUGCAAUGCUUGUAAUUAAAAGAUAGUACACUACAGAAAAUGUGAAUGUUAUACUGGUUUUAACAAAAAAUUAUUUUAUAUCCUUAUAAGCUUUUAUUCACAUUGAGUCAAACUUGUUUCAAGACAACAUAUAUAUUUACAUGUUUUGCCCGUAGGUCAAUGGGGACAUGACAUACAACCUCCAUAUCAAGUUACUAUAGCGUGUUAUUGUACAGCUACACACUGAUCCCACAGUUUGUCAGUACUGAAGGAAAUGUUCUGUAAUAUAGGUUGUCAACAUGUCUCUUCUUCUGUGCCUCCAAGACAAAUUCCUAUGCGUCUAUUAUACCUGGCAAAACUGUAAUUCUGAUUCUUCUUUGAUAAUAUGAAGUGUUGAGUGUCAGUCUGCAGAGAAGAAGCUCCCAUGCCUCAAAGUACAGAAUCACAUCUGAACCUGAAGAGGUAUGAUUUAUGUUUCCAAUAAAACAUUUCUGUAAUAAACAGUUGUACAUAGCAAUUAAAAUGCUUCUUAUAUGUUAUAUGAUUCACUCUACAGGUCAAAUAGGGCUAUAAC